rnacentral:tRNA from 1 species
CAUAGCUCAGUUGGUAGAGCACAUGACUUUAAGAAGUUCUAGAAACGCUCUGGUUCAAAGGUCGCUGGUUCAACUCCUGCUCCAA